ACCAGCCCACACAGGCAAAGAAGAGGCAGCUAGCUCCAUCACGGGGUCCACAAGCUGACAUACUGCCUUUGCGCAUGUCAGCCGUCACUAUGUCUCAAAUAGAUUACCUCCUCUGGUCUGAGCCGCCAAAACCACAAGAUGCAGCUGCCACCCUAACCUGUGCACUUUGGAGCUAAUUUCUACCAGGGCCUUCUCUCUGGGAGGAGCUGGAAUGUAUGCACAGAUAGGAUGCCUUUGAUAAGAGUCUACAUUUGGGACCAGCCACCUGCCCCCACUCCGGAUUUACUUGAUGAGCUAAAAACAUUCCCUUUGUGGGAUGUGAUGCCAUUUCUACAACCAUCUGUCUUCACCUGACACAGGAAGUACUGGGGCCUGCAUGGCUAACACCGGCUGUUUUUCUUCUCCUGCUCUACAUUCUUUAAAGGGCCCUCUUUGCCCUCUCCUGCCAUUUCUUCACUUAGUGACCAGGAGCUCCCGCAGAACUCUUCCUGUGUCACACCCUCACUCCCAUCCCUAUCCCAGAGGCAGCUGCUCUCUUCGAAACAGACAGAACAUUUUCUCAGG
rnacentral:lncRNA from 1 species